rnacentral:misc_RNA from 1 species
AACUUUCAGCAAUGGAUCACUUGGUUCUCGCAUCGAUGAAGAACGCAGCGAAAUGCGAUUAGUAAUGUGAAUUGCAGAAUUCAGUGAAUCAUCGAAUCUUUGAACGCACGUUGCUCCCUUUGGCUAUUCCGAAGGGCAUGCCUGUUUGAGUAUCAUGAACCCCUCCACCCUCACGGUUCCUCGUGAUGGGCUUGGACUUGGGGGCUUUGUUGGCCUGUGGUCAGCUCUCCUCAAAUAAAUCAGCUCGCCAGUGUCUGGCGGCAUCAUGGGUGUGAUAACCAUCUACGCUUGUGAUCGCCUGCGAGGUAAACCUCUGGUCUGCAGAGGUUCGCUGGAGCGUAUAGAUGUCUCUCCUCUGUGAAGACAGCUUUCUGAAGUUCGAUCUCAAAUCAGGUAGGACUACCCGCUGAACUUAAGCAUAUCAAUAAGCGGAGGCU